UACGAAGGGGGCUAGCGUUGCUCGGAAUCACUGGGCGUAAAGGGUGCGUAGGCGGGUCUUUAAGUCAGGGGUGAAAUCCUGGAGCUCAACUCCAGAACUGCCUUUGAUACUGAGGAUCUUGAGUUCGGGAGAGGUGAGUGGAACCGCGAGUGUAGAGGUGAAAUUCGUAGAUAUUCGCAAGAACACCAGUGGCGAAGGCGGCUCACUGGCCCAUUACUGACGCUGAGGCACGAAAGCGUGGGGAGCAAACAGG
rnacentral:rRNA from 1 species